AAUGAGAAAAUAUUUUAUUAAUGCAAAAUUGGGACAUAGAGUCUGACCAAGGUUUCCUAUGGGAGUUUCAGACAUGGUAAUUAGAAACCAGGAAGACUGAGAAAGAAUCAAAUUUGCAGCAGCUCAGUAAGUGGUAGACUGGGAACAAGAAGCCAGUUUUCUGGGCUCUUGAAGCAAGGCCCUGCCACGUUGUCUUUCCCCAGGAGACGAGGUCAUAAGACAUUCAUUCCAGAGAGAGUCCUGCUCCACCUCCAGGAAGGAAGGAAUGUACACUCAAGAGAGAUCAAGAAGAAUCUAAACAAACACGUUUUCCCACAAGAGAAAAUGAUCUAAUUAACAUUUGAUAAUAACUUUUUGUCCAAUUAUAUUUCUACACUACUGUUCAUACUUUGUUUAACCUAAGCAUAAAAAUUGACAAUUUUUCUUGUAUUUUUGGCUCUUCAUUCUGAAGGCUUCCGUGUAUACAUGUUAAAUAAAUUUGUACACCUUUUCUCCAA
rnacentral:lncRNA from 1 species